ACUUGCUUUCUUUGCCGGCGACCGGCGCACGGGUGAGUAACACGUAUCCAACCUGCCCUUUACUCGGGGAUAGCCUUUCGAAAGAAAGAUUAAUACCCGAUGGCAUAAUGAUUCCGCAUGGUUUCAUUAUUAAAGGAUUCCGGUAAAGGAUGGGGAUGCGUUCCAUUAGGUUGUUGGUGAGGUAACGGCCCACCAAGCCUUCGAUGGAUAGGGGUUCUGAGAGGAAGGUCCCCCACAUUGGAACUGAGAUACGGUCCAAACUCCUACGGGAGGCAGCAUG
rnacentral:rRNA from 1 species